UUUAUGGAGAGUUUGAUCCUGGCUCAGGAUGAACGCUGGCGGCGUGCCUAAUACAUGCAAGUCGAGCGAACGGACGAGAAGCUUGCUUCUCUGAUGUUAGCGGCGGACGGGUGAGUAACACGUGGAUAACCUACCUAUAAGACUGGGAUAACUUCGGGAAACCGGAGCUAAUACCGGAUAAUA
rnacentral:rRNA from 1 species